UUCUGGCCUUUUGGUGAUCUAUAACCCCCCCAACAGGUCCGGCAGCGGACCCCACACUCACCUAGGCUGUUGGGGGUUUGAUCAAAGGCCGCCAGUGGCUCCACCGGUGGGGUUGAGCAGCAAAUUGACAGCAGCGGCCAGUGGCAGGACCAGGUGUGAUGUUAACCAUCAGACUGAAAUCCACUAUGCAAUUCUUUACCAAGCCUAAGAACUACAAGAGUACAAUCUUAUUUGGAUUUGGCUUCCUUCUGGUCCUAAUCGGGUGGCCUGUCUUUUGGCGUGAUCUUGGAGUCUUAUGGUUUCACUGUUUUCUUCUGAGGCAAACGUGUGCCAGUGAAAACCACUAAUUGGUGGAGCCAUGCAGCAGAAGUUCUUUGUGAGAUGGUAUUCGACUUUAGCUCACAGACUAUUGAUUUUAUUACUCAAGCAUUGGUGUGCGCUGUAACCCGUCGCAAGCUGGUUGUGUUGAUUUGAUAGCCAGCUCAUCCUUCUUCAGCUAGCAUAUUUCUUGGGUGUCAAAUGUGAGAGGAUUUACAUGCUGGGUACUCUCAGCUAUUCACUGAUAUUUGCUUGUGCCAUUUUGAUUAUAACUGCUGGAUGUCUUCAUGCU